rnacentral:ncRNA from 1 species
UAUUGAGCGUUGAAGAGUGACAGUAGCGAACGUCUCCCUGUAAAAAGAGAGCUGGUGGUUGGUGCAAAUCAGUACAAAGGCGACUCGUGAAGUACAGCUUGGAGCUUUUUCUUUGCUAUUUUGGUGAAGAAACGGGGCAUGCCGUUAUCAUGUUGGAGUUGGGAGAAAUGCUACUAUUUCUCCAAAAAGGGUGGUACCGCGAGUAAGCUCGUCCCUUAU